AUGCAGGAAAUAUAUUUGGCUUUUCCAGAGGGGCAGCAUCUUUAACAAAAGGAUGCUCCAAUAGCUCAGCAGCAGUAGGACGACUUUGUGGCUCACGCUGUAAACACUUCCUCACAAAAUCUUUUCCCUCGUCUGAAAGGUGUUCCGGGAUUGCUGGGAGUUCUUUACUGUUCCCAAUCUUAAACAUGGCCGUGGGUCACGCUGUAAACACUUCCUCACAAAAUCUUUUCCCUCGUCUGAAAGGUGUUCCGGGAUUGCUGGGAGCUCUUUACUGUUCCCAAUCUUAAACAUGGCAGCAACCUUUGGCCCAUACGACAUCAAACACCAUAUAAUACAGGUCAAGGGAAUGAACUGCUAUUGUAAAACAUGCUAGUCCAAAUUAUAUGAAAGCAAAAGUCCCAUCUUCCAACAAUGUUCAGAAAAAGAAAAAGUACAAAGAUGCUCUAAUGAAGCUUCUCUAAGCCAAAAUUACUUACUCC
rnacentral:lncRNA from 1 species